GACGAACGCUGGCGGCGUGCUUAACACAUGCAAGUCGAACGGAAAGGCCCUGCUUUUGUGGGGUGCUCGAGUGGCGAACGGGUGAGUAACACGUGAGUAACCUGCCCUUGACUUUGGGAUAACUUCAGGAAACUGGGGCUAAUACCGGAUAGGAGCUCCUGCUGCAUGGUGGGGGUUGGAAAGUUUCGGCGGUUGGGGAUGGACUCGCGGCUUAUCAGCUUGUUGGUGGGGUAGUGGCUUACCAAGGCUUUGACGGGUAGCCGGCCUGAGAGGGUGACCGGCCACAUUGGGACUGAGAUACGGCCCAGACUCCUACGGGAGGCAGCAGUGGGGAAUAUUGCACAAUGGGCGGAAGCCUGAUGCAGCAACGCCGCGUGCGGGAUGACGGCCUUCGGGUUGUAAACCGCUUUCGCCUGUGACGAAGCGUGAGUGACGGUAAUGGGUAAAGAAGCACCGGCUAACUACGUGCCAGCAGCCGCGGUGAUACGUAGGGUGCGAGCGUUGUCCGGAUUUAUUGGGCGUAAAGGGCUCGUAGGUGGUUGAUCGCGUCGGAAGUGUAAUCUUGGGGCUUAACCCUGAGCGUGCUUUCGAUACGGGUUGACUUGAGGAAGGUAGGGGAGAAUGGAGUUCCUGGUGGAGCGGUGGAAUGCGCAGAUAUCAGGAGGAACACCAGUGGCGAAGGCGGUUCUCUGGGCCUUUCCUGACGCUGAGGAGCGAAAGCGUGGGGAGCGAACAGGCUUAGAUACCCUGGUAGUCCACGCUGUAAACGGUGGGUACUAGGUGUGGGGUCCAUUCCACGGGUUCCGUGCCGUAGCUAACGCUUUAAGUACCCCGCCUGGGGAGUACGGCCGCAAGGCUAAAACUCAAAGGAAUUGACGGGGCCCCGCACAAGCGGCGGAGCAUGCGGAUUAAUUCGAUGCAACGCGUAGAACCUUACCUGGGUUUGACAUGGAUCGGGAGUGCUCAGAGAUGGGUGUGCCUCUUUUGGGGUCGGUUCACAGGUGGUGCAUGGCUGUCGUCAGCUCGUGUCGUGAGAUGUUGGGUUAAGUCCCGCAACGAGCGCAACCCUUGUUCACUGUUGCCAGCUCGUUAUGGUGGGGACUCAGUGGAGACCGCCGGGGUCAACUCGGAGGAAGGUGGGGAUGACGUCAAGUCAUCAUGCCCCUUAUGUCCAGGGCUUCACGCAUGCUACAAUGGCAGGUACAGAGAGUGGCGAGCCUGUGAGGGUGAGCGAAUCUCGGAAAGCCGGUCUCAGUUCGGAUUGGGGUCUGCAACUCGACCUCAUGAAGUCGGAGUCGCUAGUAAUCGCAGAUCAGCAACGCUGCGGUGAAUACGUUCCCGGG
rnacentral:rRNA from 1 species